rnacentral:lncRNA from 1 species
AAAAUCCCUGUGUCUAUAACUUCCAACGAGUAGGUGUCUAUUUCUUCCCCUUGGAUGGUAGUAUUUCAUAUAUUUGAGAGCAAUUGUAUGUUCCUAUUUCAUUUUGUCACCAGACAAAAAAUUCAGGCAUUUCUCAUAUAUGAUAGCGUUGCCUGACACAUUCGCCAUUAAACUUACUUUCCUCUUACAUUUCUUUGAUUUUUAGUUUGUUUUAAGGUGUUCAUAGAAGUAGACACCAUACCCUGAUAUGAUCUGAACAGUGCAAUUCAUGUAGUGGGGAUAUAUAUUUAUUUCCUUGUUCUAAAUAUGUUACUUCCAAAAAAUUGUCUUAGGUGAAGUAUAUGUAUUAUAAAAUACAUAAUCCAUACAUUAAAAUAUACUAUUCAAAAGUGUUAACUUUUAAAAACUUUAGAGACCACCACUAAAUUGAAGAACACUUCUGUACCCCCCCCCCAAUUUCCUUGUGCCCUUGCUUGAUGUCAUACCCACAUCUGACUCCCAACCCCAGACAAACCCUGAUCUGCUUUCUAGAAUUCCAUAUAGGAGAUGGAUAGUAUAGUGUGCACUCUUUUGUGUCUGGCUGAUUUUGCUCAGCAUAAUAUUGUGAUUCAUUCAUAUUGUCAUAAUAUGAGUAGUUACUUUCUUUUUAUUGCUGAUUAAUAUUCCACUUAAUGAGCAUACCACAACAGGUCCGUUCAUCUGUCAAUUGUUUUCAGGUUUUGGCUAUUAUGGACUAAGCUGGUAUGAACAUUUCUGUACAAGUCUUUGUUCAGACAAAUGUUUUUGUUUUUCUUGGCUAAAUAUGUGUGAGUAGAAUUGCUGGGUCGUAUGGUUAUUGCAUGUUUAACUUUAGAAGAAACUUCCAAAGUACUUUCUGAAGUGAUUGUAUCAUUUUACAUUUCUAGCAUCAGUUCGUAUAUGUCCAUUCAUUGUUUUAAAGCUGAAUAGAAUUCUUAGUGUAUGUUUAGACAGUAUUAAACUAAAUUUAGGAGUCUGUAGUUAUCCAGAGUCUCCAUUUAUUCUGAUUAGUCUGUAGUAUAGUCUUAAAAUUAAGAAAUAACUUGUUUUCAUCGUUUAUCCUCUCAAGAUUGUCAGUUUUCUUGUGGAUAGCUUUCUGACAAAAGUACUAUUUCUGUAAAGCUUCUUUUUCUGUAUGUUUAUUUCUUUAAAUAUAACUCUAUUAUGACAGUCCAGUCAGGCAUUAUACUGAAAUCAUACAGAAAUCUUAUAUCUGAUUUGAAGCUAUUCAUUUUUAUAAAACCCCUUGCCUCUCAAUGUAUCAUAUAUAUAGCACAUCCUUACACACAGCAGGUGCUCAGUCAGUGUCUCCUUGCUUCUUGAAUACCAUACUUUCAGUCUAUAAUAUGUCUUAUUUACCUCCUAAGCAAGUAGCUAAAUUGAGAAGAACUGUAAAUAAAUCUGACUUUUUAUGGAAUCUCUUAAGUAGCAUAAUGAGUGAAUCAAGUUGUUGAAUUUGAUCUGUAAAUGACUUAGAUCUUUUAUUCCCAGUAGCAUCAAAGGAUAGAGAAGACAUGUUCUGAUAAGGUAGUAGAAGGGUUUCGCCUUUGCUAUAUCUAACAGUUUAAAAUUAAUUUCUGGGAGUUCCCAUUGUGCCUCAGCAAUUAACGAAUCUGACUAACAUCCAUGAGGACGCAGGUUCGAUCCCUGACCUUGCUCAGUGGGUAAGGAUCUGGCGUUGCUGUAAACUGUGGUGUAGGUUGCAGAUGUGGCUUGGAUCUGGCAUUGCUGUGCCUCUGGCAUAGGCCUGCAGCAACAGCUCUGAUUAGAUCCCUAGCCUGGGAACCUCCAUAUGCUAGGGGUGUGGCCCUGAAAAGACAAAGACAAAAAAAAAAUAGAAAUAAAAAAUAAAUAAAAUUCAUUUCUGUUGUAAACUCUAAAUCCUGUAGGCUUUGACAGAUCCACUUGAUACCAGGGCAGAAGAGUCACAGUGUUUUGCUUUUGACUUUAGGUCAUUUCAUUUAAAAAAUAUAAACACACACAAAUGCGCUACUGCCACCAUCAACAAUAACAAAAGACAAGCCAAAUAUGCUUUGGGAUCAGUUUGGUAAUAUAGGCGAAGUUUAUUGGGCUGAAAUAAGACCAGCUUUCCUCCCAGGUGAGAGGUCUAUAUGUCAGGCUGGUUUAGCUAAAAUUCUUUGAUGUGUAGUAAAUCCCAUGGGUUGGCUUUGUUCUCCAGCUUCAUAUUUUACUGGUCCUUUCUAUGGCCUUUCCUGCCCUUUCUUAGGCACUUUUUCUAUUCUAAAGAACAAAUUAGGUCUCCUUGUCUAAAUGUUCUCCCCGCUUCUCUCUUUCCUGAAAAUUUACUUAUAACAAAACACAAUAUUUUUUGGCUUUUGGAGUAAAUAGUUCCCAUCCCCAUUGAUAGCAUUAUGGACCCUGUUGAUGGACUCAAGUUCCCUCCUGGAGGUAACAUUGUCAUAAGGCUUCAUUUGUAUUGUGUUGGGGAUACAAGAGUAUAGAGUCGGAGAAACUAUGUAGAAGGAAGUGUGUAAAGAAGACAGCAUCAUCUGUUUGGGUUCCUUUCAUACUUCAUUUGUAUUGUACAGCACCUCUACAACUACCGUAAAUGAGUCCCAUGCCUUGAUUUCUUUACUUAUGAAAUAAGGAUAUUUCUUUUCACUAUAUGAUUGGGUUGGGGGAUGAUCAAAUGAUUUCAUAUAAACACUUAGAAUGCUAAGAGUUUUUAAUCACUCUUCUGUAUAGUAAUUAGUACUAGAUAGUAUUUGUUUUAAGAAUACACACGCCUCCUGUCAUGUGUUUUCACAAAAUAGACUAGAAAAUGUUGUCAGUGGUUAUCUCUGUGGAGUUGGCUGUCUGGAGAUUUAAUUGCUCCUUUUUUUCUAUAUUAAAGUUCAUGUUAUUUUAAAUUUUAGAUAAAGUCAGAUAUUCAGCUCUUUAGCAAUUGCAUUUAAUCUUUUCCAUUGUUUUUGCUAGCAUCUUCCACUUACUUUGCUUUGACUAUUCUUUAAGACUUUGUAAACUUUGAGUUCAGAAAGAUUGUGGACAUCCUAACAUGAUGAUCUGGGUAGUUCUUUGAAAGUUCAUUAGUAUCUUAUUUUGCUGUUUAUUGUGACUUAGUUUAUUAUUCUCCAUCAUUUGUUUGAGGCCAGUCUGUAGGGGACAGGCAGUCUAGAUCUAAGAGAUAAUAUAUUAAUUAUUUAUUGUCUGCAUGCUUUUUUCUGGCAUAUAGUAGAAAUAUUUACAAAUUUCAUUACUCCUUAGGCAAGUUUCUAUGAUAAACCUUAAUGGAAAAGAACAUUCUGUAUAUACACAGAAUAUAUUUAUGUACACACAGGCAUUAUAUAUAUGUGUGUGUGUGUGUAUGUAUACACACACACACUCAUAUAUACAGUUGCUUUUAAGAAUAAUUGCUGACUUUGUCCAGUAUGGAAACUACUUCCUUUGGUUUAUCUAUACAUGAUACAGCAAUGCAGAUGGAAGAUUGAAAUCUGCAUUUAGUUUUGGGGGAAGAUAGAAGUCAAGUUCUUGCUCACUGACUGGUUAAAGUGACCUUAGGCAAGACUCAAGUGAGCUCCUUCAAUAUCCUCACCUGUAAAAUAUAGUUAAUAAUAAAAAUAGUUAUACUAUAUCUUCAUAUGACUAUUGUGAGGAUCAAAUAAAAUAAUGUGCAUAAAAAUACUUUGUGGGGUUCCCAUCAUGGCUCGGUGGUAAUGAACCGUACUAGUAUCCAUGAGGAUGCAGCAUAUGGAGGUUCCCAGGCUAGGGGUCGAAUUGGAGCUGCAACCACCGGCCUACGCCAGAGCCAUAGCAACACAGGAUCUGAGCCAAGUCUGCAACCUACACCACAGCUCACGGCAGCGCCGGAUCCUUAACCCACUGAGCAAGGCCAGGGAUCAAACCUGCAACCUCAUGGUUCCUGGUUGGAUUUGCUAACCACUGAGCCAUGACGGGAACUCCCUUGAUUCCUUAUCAUUAUGAAAUAUCCCUUUUUAUUCCUGGUAAUAUUUCCUGCUUGAAACCUACUUUGUCUGGUGUUGGUAUAGCAUGGUACAUCUUUUUCAGUCCUUUUAUCUGUGAUAUAUUUAAAAUGGAUUUCUUACAAAGAACAUUCACCUUGGUCAUUGUUUCUUAUAUGAUUUGACAGUGUCUUCUUUUUCAAUGAUAUGUUGAAAGUACAUUUUAUGUGAUUAUUGAUAGGCAUGGUUUGAAUCAGCUGUGUUACUGUUUGUUUUCUAUUUGUCCUAUCUAAUCUUUGAUUCCUUUUCCCUCUUUCCCUGCUUUAUUUUGUAUUCCUUGUAUUCCUUGAGUAAUUUUAUGAUUCCAUUUUAUCUCCUUUAUUGACUUUAACAUACCUCUUUGUUUUAUUCUUUCAGUGGUUACUGUAUAAUUUACAAUAUGCUUCUUUAACUUGUACCAUCAUAUACUAUUAUACCACUUCCUAUAUGGAAUGAGAAAAGCCAGUGGUUCUCAGCAGCAGUUCAAGCAGUGGGAUAGA